rnacentral:rRNA from 1 species
AUUGAACGCUGGCGGCAGGCCUAACACAUGCAAGUCGAACGAGUGGCGGACGGGUGAGUAAUGUCUGGGAAACUGCCUGAUGGAGGGGGAUAACUACUGGAAAAGGUAGCUAAUUCCGCCUACCAUCGGAUGUGCCCAGAGGGGAGUAGCUAGUAGGUGGGGUAACGGCUCACCUUGGCGAUGACCCCUAGCUGGUCUGAGAGGAUGACCAGCCACACUGGAACUGAGACACGGUCCAGAAUCCUACGGGAGGCAGCAGUGGGGAAUAUUGCACAAUGGGCGCAAGCCUGAUGCAGCCAUGCCGCGUGUAUGAAGAAGGCCUUCGGGUUGUAAAGUACUUUCAGCAGGGAAGCGUUACCCGCAGAAGAAGCACCGGCUAACUCCGUGCCAGCAGCCGCGGUAAUAC